GAGGUGGGAGGAUUGCUUGAGCCCGGGAGGCAGAGGUUUCAGUGAGUAGUGAUCGCAUCACUGCACUCCAGCCUGAGUGACAGAGCAAGACCUUGUCUC
rnacentral:miRNA from 1 species